rnacentral:rRNA from 1 species
GUUUGGUUAAGUUAGAAAGGGCGCACGGUGGAUGCCUUGACACUAGGAGUCGAUGAAGGACGGGACUAACGCCGAUAUGCUUCGGGGAGCUGUAAGUAAGCUUUGAUCCGAAGAUUUCCGAAUGGGGAAACCCACCAUACGUAAUGGUAUGGUAUCCUUAUCUGAAUACAUAGGGUAAGGAAGACAGACCCAGGGAACUGAAACAUCUAAGUACCUGGAGGAAGAGAAAGCAAAUGCGAUUUCCUGAGUAGCGGCGAGCGAAACGGAACAUAGCCCAAACCAAGAGGCUUGCCUCUUGGGGUUGUAGGACAUUCUAUACGGAGUUACAAAGGAACGAGGUAGACGAAGCGACCUGGAAAGGUCCGUCGUAGAGGGUAACAACCCCGUAGUCGAAACUUCGUUCUCUCUUGAAUGUAUCCUGAGUACGGCGGAACACGUGAAAUUCCGUCGGAAUCUGGGAGGACCAUCUCCCAAGGCUAAAUACUCCCUAGUGAUCGAUAGUGAACCAGUACCGUGAGGGAAAGGUGAAAAGCACCCCGGAAGGGGAGUGAAAGAGAUCCUGAAACCGUGUGCCUACAAAUAGUCAGAGCCCGUUAACGGGUGAUGGCGUGCCUUUUGUAGAAUGAACCGGCGAGUUACGAUCCCGUGCGAGGUUAAGCUGAAGAGGCGGAGCCGCAGCGAAAGCGAGUCUGAAUAGGGCGUUUAGUACGUGGUCGUAGACCCGAAACCAGGUGAUCUACCCAUGUCCAGGGUGAAGUUCAGGUAACACUGAAUGGAGGCCCGAACCCACGCACGUUGAAAAGUGCGGGGAUGAGGUGUGGGUAGCGGAGAAAUUCCAAUCGAACCUGGAGAUAGCUGGUUCUCCCCGAAAUAGCUUUAGGGCUAGCCUUAAGUGUAAGAGUCUUGGAGGUAGAGCACUGAUUGGACUAGGGGUCCUCAUCGGAUUACCGAAUUCAGUCAAACUCCGAAUGCCAAUGACUUAUCCUUAGGAGUCAGACUGCGAGUGAUAAGAUCCGUAGUCAAAAGGGAAACAGCCCAGACCGCCAGCUAAGGUCCCAAAGUGUGUAUUAAGUGGAAAAGGAUGUGGAGUUGCUUAGACAACUAGGAUGUUGGCUUAGAAGCAGCCACCAUUUAAAGAGUGCGUAAUAGCUCACUAGUCGAGUGACUCUGCGCCGAAAAUGUACCGGGGCUAAAUACACCACCGAAGCUGCGGAUUGAUACCAAUGGUAUCAGUGGUAGGGGAGCGUUCUAAGGACAGUGAAGUCAGACCGUAAGGACUGGUGGAGUGCUUAGAAGUGAGAAUGCCGGUAUGAGUAGCGAAAGACGGGUGAGAAUCCCGUCCACCGAAUGCCUAAGGUUUCCUGAGGAAGGCUCGUCCGCUCAGGGUUAGUCAGGACCUAAGCCGAGGCCGACAGGCGUAGGCGAUGGACAACAGGUUGAUAUUCCUGUAC